GACGUAGGGCGCGAGCGUUGUCCGGAUUUAUUGGGCGUAAAGAGCUCGUAGGCGGCUUGUCGCGUCGUUCGUGAAAACCCGGGGCUCAACUCCGGGCUUGCGGGCGAUACGGGCAGACUAGAGUUCGGUAGGGGAGACUGGAAUUCCUGGUGUAGCGGUGAAAUGCGCAGAUAUCAGGAGGAACACCGGUGGCGAAGGCGGGUCUCUGGGCCGAUACUGACGCUGAGGAGCGAAAGCGUGGGGAGCGAACAGG
rnacentral:rRNA from 1 species